rnacentral:rRNA from 1 species
UACGUAGGGGGCGAGCGUUGUCCGGAUUUAUUGGGCGUAAAGAGCGUGUAGGCGGUUCGGUAAGUCUGUCGUGAAAUCCUGAGGCUCAACCUCGGGCGUGCGAUGGAUACUGCCGGGCUAGAGGGUGGUAGAGGCGAGUGGAAUUCCCGGUGUAGCGGUGAAAUGCGCAGAUAUCAGGAGGAACACCGAUUGCGAAGGCAGCUCGCUGGGACGUAACUGACGCUGAGACGCGAAAGCGUGGGGAGCAAACAGG